rnacentral:RNase_P_RNA from 1 species
UCAGUCGGCCGGACGGUCGCUCCCGCUAUGGUCGAAAGGCUGCGGGAGAGGAAAGUCCGGGCUCCAUCGACAUACGGUGCCGGAUAACUUCCGGCGGGGGCGACCCCAGGGACAGUGCCACAGAGAACGAACCGCCCCGUCUCCGGACGGGGCAAGGGUGAAAAGGUGCGGUAAGAGCGCACCGCGUAUCCGGCAACGGAAACGGCAUGGCAAACCACACCGGGAGCAAAACCGAAUAGGGACGGCAAAGCGGAAAGUUCGCGCAAGCGAUAACUCCGCGGGGCGAUGUCAGGCUCGCUGUCCGGGUAGGUUGCUCGAGGCCAUGUGCAAACAUGGUCCCAGAGGAAUGGCCGUCACGUACCAAUCGCAAGGAUGGUGCCUUACAGAACCCGGCUUACAGGCUGGCUGAUACU